rnacentral:rRNA from 1 species
GGAUUGCAGGCUGCAACUCGCCUGUAUGAAGUCGGAAUUGCUAGUAAUCGUGGAUCAGCAUGCCACGGUGAAUACGUUCCCGGGCCUUGUACACACCGCCCGUCACACCAUGAGAGCCGGAACACCCGAAGUCCGUAGUCUAACCUAUAUGGAGGACGCGGCCGAAGGUGGGUUUGGUAAUUGGGGUGAAGUCGUAACAAGGUACC